UUAAAAGUGUCGUUUAAUAAGAAAAAUAAUGUUAUUUUUAGAUAUAUUAAAAGCGUCAUUUACUGAAAAGUAAAAUGAAAAAAAAAGAAAAAAAUGAAAAAACAAGAAGAAAAAAAACGUAAAAAAAAGAAGAAAAAAAAGGGAAGAAAGCAAGUGAAAAGAGAGGAAAUGUGCUGGCAAGAGGCUUCGGCCUUCGAGCCCCCACCAUUGCCACUUGCGCUAACUAUUCAUAUUGUAAAUGAGGCGCAAACUUAGCAUAUAUAUGAUUUUGAACUGGGUCA
rnacentral:lncRNA from 1 species